rnacentral:rRNA from 2 species
CAGCAGUCAAGAAUAUUAGUCAAUGGCCUAACGGCCGAACUGGCAACUUAGGGAAACGACAAUUGAUUAUCAAAUGAAGUUUUGUCUAUAUAUUGAUAAUGACAAUAUAUAUAAAUAGUCUUGACCAAUUACGUGCCAGCAGUCGCGGUAAUACGUAAGAGACAAGUGUUAUUCAUCUUAAGUAGGUUUAAAGGGCACCUAGACGGCCAAAAUGACUUUAUAAAAAGUAGUAUUUGGCUAGAGUUUUAUGUAAGAAGUACAGUACUUUUAAGUGGAGAGUUGAUAUUCGAUGAUACUCUAGGGACUGGUAAAGGCGAAGGCAGUCUUCUAUGUAAAAACUGACGUUAAAGGGCGAAGGCAUAGAUAACGAACAGGAUUAGGUACCCUAGUAGUCUUUGCAGACAAUGAUGAAUGCCAUAGGUUAGAUAUAAAUUUAGUCUAUAAAUGAAAGUGUAAGCAUUUCACCUCAAGAGUAAAGUGGCAACACUGGAACUGAAAUCACUAGACCGUUUCUGACAUCAGCAGUGAAGUAUGUUAUUUAAUUCGAUAAUCCGC